AUAAGACAACCUGUGUUUAUUUCUGCUGGAGCUGAGCAGUUGCUGCUUACUGAACUGCUGAACUAACUGAACUUCUGUUCAGUUACUGAACAGAACUGCUUACUGUUCACCGCGAUCGACCAAAAAGAUUACUGUGAGAAUGAGACAAUCGCGGAGAAACAGAAGAGUCCUCGGUCUGCUUCGUUCUGAAAGUGAGAACGACCCUCGAGGCUUUGAAAAUAUUAGUAACGGUGUUCCUGGGACCCCACGUAGUUUUACCAGUGACAGCUACGCUGAAGCUGUUUCGAAGGAAGGUGAGGAGGAACAGAACGUGGCAACGACAGCGAAAAGGAGCCACUCCAAAAAAGCAACUUGAGAGGAGUUUGUAAGAAACGAAUAAAAACACACACAGAUCAUCGGCCGUCACAUUCACAUGAAACCGGACAGCAUGGAUCGAUAAUUGAAAUUGAAUAUGGAGUCCAGCAGCAGAGCAGAUGGAGGAGGGAAGAAAACUGGAAACAUGCCAAUCAGCAGGUUCUUUUUG